GUCACCCUGGUCACCUGUGGGCAUCCUGCCCCAUGUUGCCACUUUCAGGAAAGACAUGGAUGACGUUCGAUGGCCCUGAAAUAAGGCAGGACGGCUGAGCUGUUGAUGUAGUGUGGUGGUCGGCAGUCGGAGGCGAAAGGCUGCAGCGGGUGAGGCGUGGACUUCGGCAGGCCCGUCUGUUUCUAACGAAGGGAAGCGAAGAUGAGCAUUAGGUUUGCUAGAAAUCCCAACAGAGACACCGUUGAGAGAAAGAAAAGACAGGCCUAGAAGAGGAGAAAAUAUUUACCAAUCACAAAUC